GUUUGAGUGCCGCGAUAAGCUGGCAAACAAGCCGCUCGAUCCCCAGCGCCGUGGGGCAACGGGGGGGCGCCGUGGGGCACAUCGGGGCGCUGCGGAGGUCCCGUGGGAUGCGGGAGGAGCGUGGAUUCCCCGCGGCUUCUCACCCCGCUCCCCAUCCCCGCCGUCCCAGCGGCUCCCGAUGGGGAGGAUGGGGGUGUCGGAGCCACCCCUCGCCCCGGGCAGGGCACAACAGCUGGACCGUAUGGGCAGGCACGGGGCUGCCCUGCUGCGACGGGAUGCGCUCCUCAGGCCGUUCCCUCCCACCGGGGCGUCACGGAGGGCCGCGGCACGGAGCAUCCCGAGCCCCAUCCCUGCGUGGGAUGAGCCCAUGGAGCCACCGUUG
rnacentral:lncRNA from 1 species